GCAGUGGAGGCUCAAUGGUUAAGGCUUUGGAUUACUGAUCAGAAGCUCGGAGGUUCAAGCCCCUAUCACUGCC